GACGUAGGGCGCGAGCGUUGUCCGGAUUUAUUGGGCGUAAAGAGCUCGUAGGCGGCUUGUCGCGUCGGCUGUGAAAACCCGCGGCUCAACUGGGGAGGGUCAUUCGAUACUGAUCGACUCGAAGGCAGGAGAGGGUAGUGGAAUUCCCGGUGUAGUGGUGAAAUGCGUAGAUAUCGGGAGGAACACCUGUGGCGAAGGCGGCUUUCUGGACUGCAACUGACACUGAUAAACGAAAGCCAGGGUAACAAACGGG
rnacentral:rRNA from 1 species